rnacentral:rRNA from 1 species
CCUACGGGUGACAGCAGUGGGGGAUAUUGCACAAUGGGGGAAACCCUGAUGCAGCGACGCCGCGUGGGUGAAGGAGCGUUUCGGCGCGUAAAGCCCUAUCGGCAGGGAAGAAGAUGACGGUAUCUGACCAAGAAGCACCGGCUAACUACGUGCCAGCAGCCGCGGUAAUACGGAGGGGGCAAGCGUUACCCGGAUUUACUGGGCGUAAAGGGGGCGCAGACGGCAAUGCAAGCCAGGUGUGAAAGCCCAGGGCCUAACCCCGGGACUGCUCUUGAAACUGCUUGGCUGGAGUACAGGAGAGGCAGGCGGAAUUCCUGGUGUAGCGGUGAAAUGCGUAGAUAUUAGGAGGAACACUGGUGGCGAAGGCGGCCUGCUAGACUGUGACUGACGUUGAGGCCCGAAGGCGUGGGGAGCAAACAGGAUUAGAUACCCCAGUAGUC